rnacentral:snRNA from 1 species
GUGUGUACACUCACGCUGAAACUGGAGCCAUGCAGAGAUCAGCAUGGCUCCUGUGCAAGCACGGCAUGAGUUUUUGAAGCGGUCCCUAUUUUU